UGGNAUCACGAGGGCUUAACUGUCUCCCCUCCCCAUUCAAUGAAAUUGAUCUCCCCGUGCAGAAGCGGGGAUAAUACCAUAAGACGAGAAGACCCUAUGGAGCUUUAGACGUCAGAGCAGCCCAUGUAAAGCACCCCUUAACAAAGGAAAAAACCAAAUGAAGCCUGCCCUAAUGUCUUUGGUUGGGGCGACCGCGGGGAAAUACAAAACCCCCAUGUGGAGUAGGAAUACACAUUCCUAAACCCAAGAGCUCCCGCUCUAAUGAACAGAAAUUCUGACCAAUAAGAUCCGGCACACGCCGAUCAACGGACCGAGUUACCCUAGGGAUAACAGCGCAAUCCCCUUAAAGAGCCCUUAUCGACAAGGGGGUUUACGACCUCGAUGUUGGAUCAGGACAUCCUAAUGGUGCAGCCGCUAUUAAGGGUUCGUUUGUUC
rnacentral:rRNA from 1 species